rnacentral:lncRNA from 1 species
UGUUGAAUGUUUUCUAAUUUAAAUUAAACAAAGGGCAGAAGGAAAACUUUGCAAUUGAAAUUGGAUGCAGAGUAGGGAUCGAUUUCUAAAAACAGAUUAUGAAUUAAAAUCGUCAGUGUGAACAGCAAAAAUAAAUUUCAUAGUUAUCUUAAAACUAAAAAUUUCAGAAUAUAAAAUAAAUUGCGGAGACUAAACCAAACCUAGAGCACGGAUUGUAUAAAAGAAAAUUGAUAGAUUGUAUAUUAAGCAAAUAUUAAACCAAACCUAAAACACGGAUUUCA